rnacentral:tRNA from 1 species
GGCUCAGUGGUCUAGUAGUAUGAUUCCUGCUUCGGGUCUUUAAACCCAGAUUUCUUCAGUCUGAAAUUGCAGGAGGUCCCGGGUUCAAUUCCCGGCUGAGCCC